AAGUCGAGCGGUAACAGAUCCAGCUUGCUGGAUGCUGACGAGCGGCGGACGGGUGAGUAAUGCAUAGGAAUCUGCCCGAUAGUGGGGGAUAACCUGGGGAAACCCAGGCUAAUACCGCAUACGUCCUACGGGAGAAAGGGGGCUUCGGCUCCCGCUAUCGGAUGAGCCUAUGUCGGAUUAGCUAGUUGGUGAGGUAACGGCUCACCAAGGCCACGAUCCGUAGCUGGUCUGAGAGGAUGAUCAGCCACAUCGGGACUGAGACACGGCCCGAACUCCUACGGGAGGCAGCAGUGGGGAAUAUUGGACAAUGGGGGGAACCCUGAUCCAGCCAUGCCGCGUGUGUGAAGAAGGCCCUCGGGUUGUAAAGCACUUUCAGCGAGGAAGAACGCCUAGCGGUUAAUACCCGCUAGGAAAGACAUCACUCGCAGAAGAAGCACCGGCUAACUCCGUGCCAGCAGCCGCGGUAA
rnacentral:rRNA from 1 species